ACCCUGGUAGUCCACGCCGUAAACGAUGUCGACUUGGAGGUUGUGCCCUUGAGGUGUGGCUUCCGGAGCUAACGCGUUAAGUCGACCGCCUGGGGAGUACGGCCGCAAGGUUAAAACUCAAAUGAAUUGACGGGGGCCCGCACAAGCGGUGGAGCAUGUGGUUUAAUUCGAUGCAACGCGAAGAACCUUACCUGGUCUUGACAUCCACGGAAGUUUUCAGAGAUGAGAAUGUGCCUUCGGGAACCGUGAGACAGGUGCUGCAUGGCUGUCGUCAGCUCGUGUUGUGAAAUGUUGGGUUAAGUCCCGCAACGAGCGCAACCCUUAUCCUUUGUUGCCAGCGGUCCGGCCGGGAACUCAAAGGAGACUGCCAGUGAUAAACUGGAGGAAGGUGGGGAUGACGUCAAGUCAUCAUGGCCCUUACGACCAGGGCUACACACGUGCUACAAU
rnacentral:rRNA from 1 species